rnacentral:lncRNA from 1 species
UAUCCUACCUCAAUUAUCAUAUUUUGAAUUUUUUUUUUUUCUAUCUUGUCCUACAUCACAUGUGUUUCUCUACAGACAAGUCAGCUAUCAAUCUCCCACUUGAACAAUUAUCAACCACAUGUGUAUAUCGGGUGUCAACAAAAGUUGUCAGAAUGGUCGGCGCCCGCCUGGCCUAAGGCCUAACUCCGUCCCCUCUUUCUAGGAAGAACAGGGGAGAUGAUUGCUUCCUAAUAAAGUAAUAAGCAUGCCUCUUUUAUCUACUUGUUCCUUCCUCUUCCUUUCCUCCUCCUCCUUCAAAGUUUGAUGCCUGAAAGGCAACAAAUAAUCAAUAAAAGAGAUAUUUUGAAAUUAAUAGAAGAGUAAGACCAAAAGCUUUUAAGUGCCCUGCAGUUAAACUUCAUUUUCAUAAAAAUAAAUAUUUAUUUUUUAUUCUUUCAAAUAAUUGCUACAACACUUCCUAAUACGCCAUCAACAGAAGACUCCACCACCCACUUUACAUGAAUUCUAUUUCAAGUUGGGCCACACAGCAUAUAUGCAUAGAAUCCUCUAAACUGUAAACUUAAUCUGCAUCACAAAUAUUAAUCCACGCCCUUUUUGUAUUUGCAAGUGAUUAUAUAUAUACAUAAAGAUUUCAAUAUUGACCAAGAGCAGAGCAGAACUAUGCGAGGAGAUGAAAAGAAGAAUAUUCCCAUGACAGAAAUCAAAGUUGGUGUGGGUGGACCAUCAGCCCACUAUCUGAUGUCAAGAGUUGAAAGAUGAUUAUAACAGAAAGGUAAAGCUGCCAUUCAACAACACAAGUGAUAACUCAUGACAAUGUGCACAUGAAUGGAAUCUAUGGAUGUCGUAUGUAUGAAUUAAGAUCACCUGUCAUCGCUUCCAUCAACUUCAUCCAACUAAAUCUUGAUGCAGACUUCUUCUAGUGUUUGUUGUUGUGGAGGAUAUUAUUAGACUGCUGAAAUUUGAAAAUCAUAUAAACACACGUAUAUAUAUCAAUGUCAGAGAUUGCAGAUCAUACUGCAGUGGAAUCGGGAUUGCACUUGACAACCAUAACGAAAUCGCCAUGUAAGUGAGUGGCACUUGUGAGAGGUGGUGGGGCUAUGUGUAAUCUACUAAUGGUCUUGAAGGUGAAUUGCACAAUGUUCUUUAUAUAAGGAAUACCUUUCAUACUAAAGAAGUACAGAUCAGAAAUAGGAGCCAUGGCAAAGGCCAUUCUUCUUGCUCUUCUUAAAGUACUGAUGAUCAUAAUAUUUGCUGGUUGGAUUGCUCUGUGGCUUCUAAAGCCUACUAAUCUGUGGACAAGAAAAUGGAAAGGAGCUGAAGAUAGUGCUAGGCACACAGUGUUUGGCUAUUACGGUAUGUACUUGGAGUCACCAUCUGAAUUGGUUUUUGCUUAGUGCUAAAUCGUCUUUUUUAUAUAUAUUAAUCUACACACUUACUCUCUGGCAUGACAACAUCAGCUAUCAAUUUAUAGAAUCAAGCAAGAGAUGUCAUUUGCGUGCUCAUUCUUACUGAAAAACAUAAAACAUUCAUGAUUGCAAAAUUGCAGAUGUUGGUAUCAAUGCUUAUAUUAGUAUAAUACUGAAUGCACUGCAGGUCUCAACUUUGCUGUAUUCACAUUUCCUCCUAUUGCCGUGACCAUAAUUGGAUUAGUUUACUUGGAUUUGGUUACGAAGGAGCCUCCUCGAAGCAGGUAAUAUAGUUGUGAAAUUAGAUCUGUAUCUCUAGAAAUCAAUGGCUUACUGUUCCUUAUGAUUAACAUGGAUGACAGACCAGCAAGGAGUGCAACUGUUGGUUUCUCAAAUCCUGUGGUGGUAAACAGCUUUGUGGGAAUUUUAUCUAGCUUAGAGAUUCUGGCAGUGUUUCUCUUUUUCCUCUUUCUAGCUUGGACUUACUACGCCCGCAUCAGUAAUGACUUCAAAAAGUUGAUGCCAGUCAAGUCACUGAAGUUAGAUUUGUGAGUUCUAAUGAUCCUAAAUAACAUUUGGUGGAUACUGAAAAUCAAGAGUAACACCAUUACUGAUGUUUACCUGUAUUUCAGAUGGCAAAUCAAGUAUCUAAGAGUGGCCACCCGAUUUGGAUUGCUUGCAGAAGUCUGCCUGGCUUUGCUUCUUCUUCCUG